CGCUUGCAAUGGUAAGUGAUAACAAGAGGCUGAUUGGUACUCCAUCAAUACAACCAUCUCGAACUAGCUCAUCCCCUCAAUGCAAUUAAAUUUAGUUUUUUCCAUCCACGAUACAUGUAUCAGUACCAGACAGACAGCUUGAAUGAGUAAGAUGGGUAAAAGGUGAUACCAAGAGGCUGAUUGGUCUAAAAAUACAUCCACCUCCAACCCAGCCCUCUUCCUCCGAUACAUGUAGCAGUACCAGACAGACAGCUUGAAUGGGUAAGAAGGGUAAAGGUGAUACCAAGAGGCUGAUUGGUCUAAAAAUACAUCCACCUCCAACCCAGCCCUCUUC
rnacentral:lncRNA from 1 species